AGUGAACGCUGGCGGUAGGCCUAACACAUGCAAGUCGAACGGCAGCACAGUAAGAGCUUGCUCUUACGGGUGGCGAGUGGCGGACGGGUGAGGAAUACAUCGGAAUCUACUUUUUCGUGGGGGAUAACGUAGGGAAACUUACGCUAAUACCGCAUACGACCUACGGGUGAAAGCAGGGGAUCUUCGGACCUUGCGCGAUUGAAUGAGCCGAUGUCGGAUUAGCUAGUUGGCGGGGUAAAGGCCCACCAAGGCGACGAUCCGUAGCUGGUCUGAGAGGAUGGUCCGGCAACCUGGAAGAUGGGAAUGGUCCCGGAUACUUAGGGAGGGAGGAGAGGGGAAUAUUGGAAAAAGGGGAGAAGCCCGAAUCAGGCAUAACGGGGUGGGGAAGGAAGGCCUCGGGUUGUAAAACCCAUUUGUUGGGAAAGAAAAGCAGCAGGUUAAGACCCCGCUGUUCGUGCGGGACCCAAAAAAUAAGCACCGGCUAACUUCGUG
rnacentral:rRNA from 1 species